CCUCAUAAAGUGCGUCGUAGUCCGGAUUGGAGUCUGCAACUCGACUCCAUGAAGUCGGAAUCGCUAGUAAUCGUGGAUCAGAAUGCCACGGUGAAUACGUUCCCGGGCCUUGUACACACCGCCCGUCACACCAUGGGAGUGGGUUGCAAAAGAAGUAGGUAGCUUAACCUUCGGGAGGGCGCUUACCACUUUGUGAUUCAUGACUGGGGUGAAGUCGUAACAAGGUAACCGUAGGGGAACCUGCGGUUGGAUCACCUCCUUACCUUAAAGAA
rnacentral:rRNA from 2 species